rnacentral:rRNA from 1 species
GCACCACAAGGCGUGAAGCUUGCGGUUCAAUUGGAGUCAACGCCGGGAACCUUACCGGGGGCGACAGCAGGAUGAAGGCCAGGUUGAUGGUCUUGCUGGACGAGCUGAGAGGAGGCGCAUGGCCGUCGUCAGUUCGUGCCGUCAGGUGUCCUCUUAAGUGAGGUAACGAUCGAGACCCGCGCCCCUUGUUGCUAACAGACUCCAUCGGGGUCUGUGCACACUAGGGGGACCGCCGUCGAUAAGACGGAGGAAGGAGCGGGCCACGGCAGGUCAGUAUGCCCCGAAUCCCCCGGGCCACACGCGAGCUGCAAUGGCAGGGACAAUGGGUGUCGACUCCGAAAGGAGGAGGUAAUCUCUAAACCCUGCCUCAGUUGGGAUCGAGGGCUGAAACCCGUCCUCGUGAAUAUGGAAUGCCUAGUAAUCGCGCGUCAUCAUCGCGCGGUGAAUACGUCCCCGCUCCUUGCACACACCGCCCGUCGUUCCAUCCGAGUGGGGUUUGGGUGAGGCGUAGUCCUUGGUGGCUGCGUCGAACUCAGGUUCCGCAAGGAGGGAA